rnacentral:rRNA from 1 species
GAAUGGUUGGAUGAGGGAUUAACUAUUUUAUUUUAAAAAAUUGAAAUUUAAUUUUUAGUAAAAAUGCUAAAGUAUUUAUAUAAGACGAGAAGACCCUUUAAAUCUUUAUUUUUUUUUGGUUUUUGUUUAUUAUUUAAAAUUAUUUAAAUAAAUAAUCAAAAUAAUUUUAUUGGGGCGAUAUUGAAAUUUUAUAAACUUUCAAUUCCUUUUUCAUAGAUAAAUGUAUUUUUGAUCCAUUAUUAGUGAUUAAUAAAUUAAGUUACUUAAGGGAUAACA